CGGAUCCGCGCCGCUGCAGAGUUUGAUCCUGGCUCAGGAUGAACGCUGGCGGCGUGCUUAACACAUGCAAGUCGAACGGAGUUUAGUGGAAUGCGACUUCGGUCAAAUGAAAUUAAACUUAGUGGCGGACGGGUGAGUAACGUGUGAGCAACCUGCCUUUCAGAGGGGGAUAACGCAGAGAAAUUUGCGCUAAUACCGCAUGACAUGUCGGAAUCGCAUGGAUCUGACAUCAAAGGAGCAAUCCGCUGAGAGAUGGGCUCGCAUCCGAUUAGAUAGUUGGUGAGGUAACGGCUCGCCAAGUCGACGAUCGGUAGCCGGACUGAGAGGUUGAACGGCCACAUUGGAACUGAGAUACGGUCCAGACUCCUACGGGAGGCAGCAGUGGGGAAUAUUGGGCAAUGGGCGAAAGCCUGACCCAGCAACGCCGCGUGAGGGAAGAAGGUCUUCGGAUUGUAAACCUUUGUCUUAUGGGACGAUAAUGACGGUACCAUAGGAGGAAGCCACGACUAACUACGUGCCAGCAGUCGCGGUAAUACGUAGGUGGCGAGCGUUAUCCGGAAUUAUUGGGUGUAAAGGGUGCGUAGGCGGGAUGUAAAGUCAGAUGUGAAAUGCCGCAGCUUAACUGCGGAGCUGCAUUUGAAACUUAUGUUCUUGAGUGCGGUAGAGGUAAGCGGAAUUCCCAGUGUAGCGGUGAAAUGCGUAGAUAUUGGGAGGAACACCAGUGGCGAAGGCGGCUUACUGGGCCGUUACUGACGCUGAGGCACGAAAGUGUGGGGAGCAAACAGGAUUAGAUACCCUGGUAGUCCACACCGUAAACGAUGAUUACUAGGUGUAGGGCGGUCAGACCGUUCUGUGCCGGAGUUAACACAAUAAGUAAUCCACCUGGGGAGUACGGCCGCAAGGUUGAAACUCAAAGGAAUUGACGGGGGCCCGCACAAGCAGUGGAGUAUGUGGUUUAAUUCGACGCUACGCGAAAAACCUUACCAGGUCUUGACAUCUAACUAACGAAGUAGAGAUACAUCAGGUGCCCUUCGGGGAAAGUUAAGACAGGUGGUGCAUGGUUGUCGUCAGCUCGUGUCGUGAGAUGUUGGGUUAAGUCCCGCAACGAGCGCAACCCUUAUUGUUAGUUGCUACGCAAGAGCACUCUAGCAAGACUGCCGUUGACAAAACGGAGGAAGGUGGGGAUGACGUCAAAUCAUCAUGCCCUUUAUGACCUGGGCUACACACGUACUACAAUGGCGGUUAACGAAGGGGAGCGAAGGAGUGAUCCGGAGCAAAUCUCAAAAAGCCGUCUCAGUUCAGAUUGCAGGCUGCAACUCGCCUGCAUGAAGUCGGAAUUGCUAGUAAUCGUGAAUCAGCAUGUCACGGUGAAUACGUUCCCGGGCCUUGUACACACCGCCCGUCAAGCCAUGAAAGUCGGGAAUACCCGAAGUCUGUUGUUGAACCGCAAGGAGGCGCAGCCGAAGGUAGGCUCGAUGAUUGGGGUUAAGUCGUAACAAGGUAA
rnacentral:rRNA from 1 species